UACAGAGGGUGCAAGCGUUGUUCGGAAUUAUUGGGCGUAAAGCGCGUGUAGGCGGCUUUGCAAGUCGGGUGUGAAAGCCCUCAGCUCAACUGAGGAAGUGCGCCCGAAACUGCAGAGCUUGAGUGCCGGAGAGGGUGGCGGAAUUCCCCAAGUAGAGGUGAAAUUCGUAGAUAUGGGGAGGAACACCGGCGGCGAAGGCGGCUAUCUGGCCCGUAAUUGACGCUGAGGCGCGAAAGCGUGGGGAGCAAACAGG
rnacentral:rRNA from 1 species